CAGGACCAAAUCUAAUGGCAGGGUAUCACAGUAUGGUCAGGCAUAGAUAGUAGAAGGUUACGCUAAGACCAACUCAGAUUGAGGAGUACAUUCAAAAGAGCACACAACACCCAUGUGCAUAACACACCUCUCACCCUGAUAGCUGAUGUGUGGUGAAAGUUUUGGCACAAUAUGGUUGCAAUGCAUCACCAAGUGGGUGCUACACAUUGGUGCUACACAUUGGUGGUGGAUAAGGUGUAUGUAAAGUGCUUUGAUUUAAACAUUUAUUUCAUGCCUGCAGAAAUAGUUUUUCAGACUUAGCGGUAAUAUGUUUUUUUGUUAUUUAUCUGAUUGUAGUCUGAGUCCUUUCUCGAAGAUGGUCCAGCAGAGAAGACUAAGGAAGACGACCCAUGCAGUUUCCCAGAUACAGCUAUGCAAUGUCACUUUCAGAUUUAUUUGCAGGAUGCAAUGCCAUCAGCUACACCAGGGUUUACCAAACUUUUCCACCACUGCCACCCAUUUCUCAGCUUUGAUCUAACUUUAUUAAACAAGCCCCAUUCGCCAGAGUAGGCUAGCCUGUUCUCUAUGAGUGGAGCGGAGACUGUGCGUGGAGUGGACGGUCCCGCACAUGCACAGAAGCUUCGAGACCUUUAGUCGUUGGGAGGAAAGAUCCGGAAAAGUCAGAUCCGCAGUCACUCAGUUUUUUACAUUGCAUGCUUUUAUUUCACAUCAUGCUUUCAAUAAUCUCACCAGAAAAAAACAUAACUAACAUGUUGAUGAAAUCAACUCACUUUAAACUGCCACUGUAGGAUCAAUAUUUGUUUGUUCUUUACCUCUAGAAUGCAACUUGAAACUUCAGGAAGAGGAACCAAAGUGGUGGACGUGGUUUCAAUGACAAAAGGCAGACAAAAAGAUGUAGGCAAUGGAGAAAAAACAUAUUGUGGUGCAGCGGUGGUCAGUUGCCAGCUUGGAGUCCAAGAGAGUACUUAACGUUGCGUUGGAGAAGAGGGCAAAAGCUGUGUCGAAGACCAUCUACCACUCUGCUCUAGAACGCAAAUUCAUGUGCAGCCUAAUGAGAGGGUCAAGCAAUGACGACAAGGUUGUCAAGGAAAAACUUGAAACGUAAUAAAUUCAUGGCAUCAAUAAAGCUGUACACCCUGAAGGUGUGCCAUACCCUUCUCCAAUCUCACUCAACUGCUGACUUUCAAAGUGGCAAUUGAUUUGGAGGGUGGUGUCUGGGGGCAAUGUGGAGAGAGUUUCUGUUUAACCUCAAACAUAUAUUUUCUUUGCAAUGAGAAAGCUUGACUGUAGAAUGUAGACCCUGCCACUUUGCUCUGUAAUAUUUAUUUCAAUGUUCUGACCUGUAAUUGUGAAUAACAUUUGUCAAAUGCAUUUAACCCUAUAUGGUGCAAUUUUUGAAUGAGUGUUACUAAAAAAAAUACUAAAAUAAACA